rnacentral:lncRNA from 1 species
GACACCAGAAUUUUUUACGUGGAAAACCCCCCAAUGCGAAGAGAAAAACCACGGGACCUAAUCCAGUUCAAACUUCCACUAUCAAUAGUGUUACACUUGUCUUUUCUAGAAUAAUCUCUAGAGGCUGCCAAAUACAUCAAGAACACAUGUAGUCUUGGAUUAUACAAUCUCUCUUGUCAAAAACAAAGAAAAUUGGAGAAAAUAUACCAAAAAUGUCAUUACUAUUCAUGG